CAAGACAGACAUAACCAAGAACGCCACACUCACUCUCGCCACACUACUGAACCACUUGGCAGAGAUCGAUGGAGUACUCUGCUAUCUUAACGGACGUGAAGCAGGAGGAGCCGGAGCUGGUGGUGCUGGACGACGCCGGCGACGAGGACGACGGCUGCCUGUUGGUGCCGCCGACGCCGAUGGACCUGUCGGCGAGCGCGGCGGUGGCGCCGUUCCUGGCGAAGACGUUCGACAUGGUGGAGGACCCGGCGACGGACUCCGUGGUGUCGUGGGGCGCGGCGCGGAACAGCUUCGUGGUCUGGGACCCGCACGCCUUCGCCGCCCGCCUCCUUCCGCUCCACUUCAAGCACGCCAACUUCUCCAGCUUCCUCCGCCAGCUCAACACCUAUGGAUUCCGUAAGGUGAACCCGGACAGAUGGGAGUUCGCCAACGCGGGCUUCCUCGGCGGCCAGCGCCACCUCCUCGCCGGCAUCCGCCGCCGCCGCGGCGCCGACCGCCGGCCUGCGUGCCCGUCGUCGUCGAGCGCGGCGGAGGUCGGGGGCGUGGUGGAGGGCGAGCUGGAGCGGCUGCGGCGGGACCGGGAGGCGCUGGCGCGGGAGCUGGCCAGGCUCAAGCGGCAGCAGGAGGAGUCCCGCGCGGCGCUGCUCGACAUGGAGCGCCGCGUCCAGGGCACCGAGCGGCGGCAGGAGCAGUGCAAGGCCUUCCUGGCGCGCGCCGUCAGGAACCCGAACUUCCUGGACAACCUAGCCAGCCGCAACGGCAUCGGCAUCGCCCCCGUGGAGGACGGCUGCAAGAAGAAGCGGAAGAUGCUCGACGCCGGGAUGACCCCGACGCCCGCGGACGGCAUCACCUUCGAGGAGAUGGCAUUGGCGGCCGGCGUCGACGUCAUCGCGACGUCCCAGAGCGCGGUGGACGGCGGCGGCAGCGGCGUGACGACGGACAUGGUGUGGUACGAGCUGCUCGGGGAGGAACAGACGGAGAUAGACGUCGAGCUGGACGAGCUCGUCGCUGCCGCGGCGGCGGCUGACGCGGAACCGUGGGAGGAGAUUGGGGACGAGGAGGUGCAGGAGCUGGUGCACCAGAUCGACUGCUUCGCUGGCUCGCCCAGUUCUUGAUCAACAUCAGCUCAGCACAAUGGAUUAGUAUUACUUACUGUAGUAGUUUUAGUAGUGAUAGAUCAUAGUGGCUUUGCAAUUUGAUUGUGAUUUGUGUGUGCUUGGUAUUAAUGGUAUAUUGGUCUGGCUAAUUCGGAUGCUGCGUGUGUUUGUGCAGGAUCCGACCAUGGUAUUUGUUGGAAUGCAAGAUGUGGAUGCGCGGGUGUGUGAGAAUAUGCUCCGGAAGUUCAGAUGCUUCCCCUAUGCUAUAAGACUAGCAACAAGGGAAUGCAGCAAGCACUGGAGAUGGAGAAAAGGAACAUCGUCACCAAACAUGUUCCCUUCUUUCUUCAACAUGCUCACGGGCUUGUCGCCUGAAAUCGCCUUGAUUGCCAAAAGAGGUUACAUUUGAGC